GACGAGCGCUGGCGGCGUGCUUAACACAUGCAAGUCGAACGAGUGGCGAACGGGUGAGUAAUACGUGAGUAACCUGCCCUCUUUUUGGGAUAAGCCUUGGAACCGGGGUCUAAUACCGGAUACAGGGGGAUGGGCUCUCGGCCUAUCAGCUUGUUGGUGGGGUGAUGUCCUACCAAGGCGGUGCCUGGUAGCCGGCCUGAUAGGGUGACCUGCUACAUGUGGACUGGGUUAAGGCCCGGACUCCUACGGGAGGCAGCAGUGGGGGAUAGUGCACAAUGGGCGAAAGGCUGAGGCAGCGACGCCGCGUGGGGGAUGAAGGCUUUCGGGUUGUAAACCUCUUUCGCGAGCGAACGGGUAGGUGGAGAAGAAGCGCCGGCUAACUACGUGCCAGCCGCCGCGGUAAUAC
rnacentral:rRNA from 1 species